ACCCUUGUCUUUAGUUGCCAUCAUUCAGUUGGGCACUCUAGAGAGACUGCCGGGGACAACUCGGAGGAAGGUGGGGAUGACGUCAAAUCAUCAUGCCCCUUAUGUUCUGGGCUACACACGUGCUACAAUGGUCGGUACAAAGAGUCGCGAGACCGUGAGGUGGAGCCAAUCUCAAAAGCCGAUCCCAGUUCGGAUUGCAGGCUGCAACUCGCCUGCAUGAAGUCGGAGUUGCUAGUAAUCGUGGAUCAGAAUGCCACGGUGAAUACGUUCCCGGGCCUUGUACACACCGCCCGUCACACCAUGGGAGUUGGGAGUACCCGAAGUCCGUGAGCCAACCCAAGGAGCAGCCGCCGAAGGUAAGACCGAUGACUGGGGUGAAUUCUUACCAAGUUG
rnacentral:rRNA from 1 species